rnacentral:lncRNA from 1 species
CGUUUAUUUUAAGUGGAAUCAAUUUUUGUGGCUAUAUGAUUUAAUGGUUUUGCCAAAUUUUACAUGUAAAGCUAUAGAAUAUUUAUAUUUUGUUAAACAUUUAAAUUCAUGGUAUUGAUAUACCUGUGUAAAUUGGUACCCAACAUAUAAUGAAUCCACAGUAUAUCGAAUUUGAAUGCAGUGAAAAUAAAACGUCUUUGACAGACAAAUGACAUGUUAAAAUAAAUAUAUAAAACCAUAUUAUUUGACUAUAAAAUCAUAUUUGAAUGAAAAUGUAUUUAUGCAUGCACAGAGGGUAUAUUACAUUUCAGGGUAACUCUCAAACAAAAAUUGAUGCACAAUGAACUGUGAUAACUUACAAAUUUACACUGUUAUGUACUUUGUAAUCAGGUUAUAAUUGCAGGAUAUUAAAUUUGUUUUGAUUUGAUUUUUGUUUUUGUUUAGGGUAUCAAAAACAAAUGUUUAGCCUUGAUGUUAAUCUGAUUCACUAAUCUAGAAACUUGACAAAUGAAUUGAGUGUGUGCAAGUUAUUAAAAAGGGGAACUUUUUACCCAUACAUUUACAAAAAUGUUUAUUCUGGUUUACAUAUUGUUAGAAGGUAGUUACUUAUUGAAUUUAAAACUUUAGACCCUUCUAAAGCAAACAGCAGGACUUCUUAAGAUGCCAUUGCUUUCUUUACAGGAAAUUAUUAAUUUUAUUAAUUAUACUGAACAUGAUCUGAAAGUGAUAGGGAAGUGGUCUUUUUUAAGUCGAGCAUUUUUUAAGAUUGAAUAUAUAUUACUUGACAACCAAGUACACAUUUUUGUUAUAUCAUUUGUUGGACAUUUCAAUACUGAUUAGCAAAGUCUUGACAUAAAAAGAAAAUUCUGACCAUUUUAUAGAAUAUGUUUGUUUGAUGGCAAAAUUUUAUAAGCUAUUAAAAUUUUUAUUAAUAUUAUAGUUUUCUGAACUUUCAAUAUUUCUUGUAGCCUGGUUAUAUUUAGGACCUUGAUGAAAAUGUAAAACGUUAUGUUUAUAUGAUAUCUAAGUUAUUUUUAUCAUAAAAAAUUAUUAAAGUAGUCUGAUUGGCUAAGAGUGUUGUUGAGGAAAAAUUACAAGACUCGUUUAGAUUGUAAUGUCAAUAUGGUGAAACCUGUUCAACUGAAACUUUUCAUGAAGAAGAUAGUACAACAAUGUAGUAAUUUUGGUAAAAGGGUAUUCAAAUAUACUGGAAUGGAGUGAACACAUGUAUUUGUUUUUACAUGAUAGUUGAAUAUGUUUGAUGUAUUGUACUUUCUUUUUUUUCUUUAAACAAGCACUUUUCAUGUAGUAGUGAAUUAACUAUCAAAAGAAGGAACAGGCUAAAAUAACUUAUUUAUAUCAUUUGAGCUCUCAAAACUGUUCUUUUCCUAAGUAUAAUUGGAUUAAUUCCUCAGUGGAAUUGGUAUAAUUCAAGUAGAAAUUUUAGUUAAUCUUUGAAUGUUUUAUUAGUUGUUAGGAAUCAUUUAAACUUGUUUCAUGAUUGUAUAAUUCCACAUUAGAUUUUUAUUUUCUGGGAAGUAGAUAUUGAAUUCAUAAUUUGAGAAGAAAUAUCAAAAUUAUAUAUUAUCACCUUGGAAGAGAAAAUUGUUUAAUUAUAGAAAAUAUAUUAACCUUGUGUUGAUUACAGAGAUACCAAUCAGUUUAUGAGAUUUGUAACUUAUCCUUUACCUCUAUUGUUAAUAUAAUGAUACCAGGAGAAUGUGAGGAAUCCUGAGGCAAAAUGAAAGAUUAAAGGUGGUAUUGACUUACCACUGACCCUUGAUUAAAACUUUGGACUCUAGAAUCAUUUUUUUCCGUAUCUGAAAAAUUAUUUUUGAAUAAUCCCAUUUUGUGGAUUGUGAAUUUCAAUAAUUGAAUUCAUAGACUUCUGUCAUCUCAAUUUUCAGUAAAGAAGUAUCCACUAUGACUAAAAUGCAACAAAUUCUUAACAGAAUACAAGAAAUUUUUAACAGAAUACAACAAAUUCUUAACAGAAUACAACAAAACUAACUAGAAAUGUAACACAACUGUGUAAUCAGCAACAACAACAAAAAAAGAAAUUGCUGAUCUACCUACCAUAUUUAUUUUUAAGGAUGUAAAUGGAACCACACAUAUACUUUUGGCCUGACAGCAAAAUUAAUCAAUUAAUUGCUGAUAGUAAUAUUUUGUUUUUUGUCUAGUGGGAAGCAUAGGCAUUUUUAAGAAACAAUUAACAGUAGUAGGACAUGAUGGCUUCAUAACAACAUCCAGAUCUCAUGAGCUAAUUGAUAUCUCUGGUGUUUGUGAUCGUGCAGACUCAUUGGAAUUUAACAAUCCAUGCAGGCAUGGACCCAUGGGUUUUGUAAGGAAAUAUUAAUGUUUAGUUUUCAUAGUUUCUUUUUGAAUGUGGAAUGAAUUAAAAAUGUAUCUCAAGUUAUAUGUGACAGUUUUUAAUGGUGUAAACACAGAGAAAAAGAAGACUUUCAGUCACAAUGUUUAAGCCUUGUAUAUUGUGGUUUAUAGUGAAAAACUUUAUGCAAUAACUGGUCAGAAUUGAAUUCGACAUGCUAGUCAAGCUAUUAGUCAGAAUGAAAUAAAGAGAUAUUACUUACCUAUAAAAUUCUUGUAAAUCAAAACGUAACCAAAACCAUCUCAUAUCUGCAAUUCAUGUGGAAGCUGCCAAAUGCAAUUCAUAAAAAUUGAUAGAAAUGUUAUAAUAAUUUUGAUUUUAUCACUGUUAUACAACCAGGUGUGCUUUGAUGUUUUAUAUCAUGUUAAUGUAUUUAAUAUAAAUUUUGAGAAACGUUGUUGGUCUUGUGUGGCAAAACGGAUCUUUUUAUGAAAACUUAAUUCUGAAUAUAAAAAUGAGGAGGUGUGAUGUGAUUGCCAAUUAGACACCUCUCCACCAAAUGGAACAGAUUUAGGUAACUAUGCAGCUUUUAACGAAAACCAAAACCAAUACCUUAAAGUUAGAUAUUAGGCUGAAUGAUGACCUUAUUUGAUGCACUAAAUUGAAGUUUGAUGUAAAUAAACAGUACUUAUGCACCAUUGUAUGAGUAAGAAUAUAACUGACAUGAAAAAGGAUGAUUUAAACCACUAUCAUCAAUACUUUUAUUGUAUAACCUGAAUAAAUUGACAUUUUAGUUCUCAAGAUCGAACAUCGUUACAUGCCAGUUUAAAGAAAGACGUAAACCAUUGUAUUGUUUAAGAUGUAUAGGGCUUUAGAAGUAUAAAUGCCUGGAAAUGACGUCUACAGUAUAAUUUAUUUAACAUGCAUUACAUUUAUAUUAUAUUUUAGGUGCUUGUUUGUUUACUGAAGUGAUAAUGUUUUCUUUGAGAUAUUUUAUGUUACAUUGGAAUAAAAGGC